UCAAAUUCCACUGAGCUCUCGAUGUUCACACAAUAGACUUAUGAUGAUUUCAAUUAAGCUAGACCAAUAGAUUAUAAAAUAAGAAAUAAAGAAAAGCAAUAUAGGUGAAGGUGUAAAUAAGAUAGGAAAAGAGUCAGGUUUAGGGUAUUCUUAGGAGAUAGAUGAUAGUAGAUCUAGAAAUAGCUAGGUUAUUAUCGCACCUUUCUCGAACUCAAACUAUAAUUUUAGAGUAACCAGUGGUGUUCUGCGAAACUCUCUAUACUUAGAGUUCAGAUAACAGGAGAAGCCGAGAAAUCCUAAAACAGGAGAAACUCAUUAUUAUCAAGUUUGAUUAGUUCACCUAGUAUCUAAACUGGAGCCCUUCUAUGAGCCUACAUGUUCUUUCUUAAAUGCUUAGGCUCAUCUAUGAUAGAUCAAAUAGCAAGUACCUAUGGUGGGCAUAUCUAUUCUCUAAUAUCAGUUCUAGUUAGCUAUUCUAGAACUAGCAUUAAGAAUAAUCAAGAUGAAAAAUCCUACAUAUAACCUAGCAAGGGGGAAAUCUACUAAAUCAUCUAAAUCCCUAAUGAGAAACCCUAAACAUAACAAGAAAACUACUUCAGCAUGGAGAUUGUAGCAAACAACAUGAUUAGAAUAGAAAU
rnacentral:sRNA from 1 species